AUUGAACGCUGGCGGCGUGCUUAACACAUGCAAGUCGAUCGGUAACGCGGGGGCAACCCUGGCGACGAGAGGCGGACGGGUGAGGAACGCUUGGGAAUCUGCCUAUCAGCGGGGGACAACACGGGGAAACUCGUGCUAAUACCGCAUACGCUCUACGGAGGAAAGCCGGGGACCGCAAGGCCUGGCACUGAUAGAUGAGCCCAAGCCGGAUUAGCUAGUUGGCGGGGAAACGGCCCACCAAGGCGACGAUCCGUAGCUGGUCUGAGAGGACGAUCAGCCAACCUAGGACUGAGACACGGCCCAGACUCCUACGGGAGGCAGCAGUGGGGAAUAUUGGACAAUGGGGGAAACCCUGAUUCAGCGACGCCGCGUGGGUGAAGAAGGCCUGCGGGUUGUAAAGCCCUUUCGGUAGGGACGAAAGCUCUCGACCUAACACGUCGGGAGGUUGACUUAACCUACAAAAGAAGCACCGGCUAACUCUGUGCCAGCCGCCGCGGUAACAC
rnacentral:rRNA from 1 species